CAGAGGGUGCAAACGUUGCUCGGAAUUACUGGGCGUAAAGCGCGUGUAGGCGGGUCGGAAAGUCAGGUGUGAAAUCCCCGGGCUCAACUCGGGAACUGCACUUGAAACUUCCGAACUCGAGUACCGGAGAGGGUAGUGGAAUUCCUGGUGUAGAGGUGAAAUUCGUAGAUAUCAGGAGGAACACCGGUGGCGAAGGCGGCUACCUGGACGGUCACUGACGCUGAGACGCGAAAGCGUGGGGAGCAAACAGG
rnacentral:rRNA from 1 species